UAAUACGAAGGGGGCUAGCGUUGCUCGGAAUUACUGGGCGUAAAGGGCGCGUAGGCGGACAGUUUAGUCAGAGGUGAAAGCCCAGGGCUCAACCUUGGAAUUGCCUUUGAUACUGGCUGUCUUGAGUUCGGGAGAGGUGAGUGGAAUGCCGAGUGUAGAGGUGAAAUUCGUAGAUAUUCGGCGGAACACCAGUGGCGAAGGCGACUCACUGGCCCGAUACUGACGCUGAGGCGCGAAAGCGUGGGGAGCAAACAGGAUUAGAUACCCUGGUAGUCCACGCCGUAAACGAUGGGUACUAGGUGCCUGGGGGAGCGACCCUCUGGGUGCCGGCGCUAACGCAGGAAGUACCCCGCCUGGGGAGUACGACCGCAAGGUUG
rnacentral:rRNA from 1 species